rnacentral:rRNA from 1 species
ACGAACGCUGGCGGCAGGCUUAACACAUGCAAGUCGAACGCUCGACCUUCGGGUCGGGAGUGGCAGACGGGUGAGUAACGCGUGGGAACGUACCCUUCGGUUCGGAAUAACCCAGGGAAACUUGGGCUAAUACCGGAUACGUCCUGGCCUGGAGACAGGGUGGGAGAAAGGUUUACUGCCGAAGGAUCGGCCCGCGUCGGAUUAGCUAGUUGGUGGGGUAACGGCCCACCAAGGCGACGAUCCGUAGCUGGUCUGAGAGGAUGAUCAGCCACACUGGGACUGAGACACGGCCCAGACUCCUACGGGAGGCAGCAGUGGGGAAUAUUGGACAAUGGGCGAAAGCCUGAUCCAGCCAUGCCGCGUGAGUGAAGAAGGCCUUAGGGUUGUAAAGCUCUUUCAGCGGGGACGAUAAUGACGGUACCCGCAGAAGAAGUCCCGGCUAACUUCGUGCCAGCAGCCGCGGUAA